rnacentral:lncRNA from 1 species
CCAUAAAUACAAGAACCCCACAUCCUGUUGUUAUUCUGCCAUAAGACCCUUGGCUUAUUAUGGUUUAUGUUUGAAACUGCAUGGUUUAUGUUUGAAACUGCAAGUGCAGUAUAUUGGCAAAACAUGUUCACACAUUAAAAUUACAUUUUUUCAUUUUUUCAAACUAACACUACGGCAUACAAAUCAGUUGUUUCAAGAUCGACCGACACAUAUGCGUUUCAAACCGUGAUGCGCUAAUGUUACAACCCAGACAAAGGAAAGAAAUAAGAUUCUAAAGCUAAAAUAAUCCAUCAGCUGGCCGUGACAGUUUCUCAGGUUCCUCAUUACAUUGGUUUCCAAGGACGUUAUGACAGAUUCGCUCCCGUGUCAUGCGGUGACCUAUAUAUCCAAGAGCUAGCAGCGCCAUGCCGACAAUGUGAGUGUGAAUACAGGUGCGUAAGG